CUUUAGCCUGUACAGUUCUGACCAUCUCAGUAUUAAUAUUUUAAGUGGAUUUUAUAAGCUUGUUGGAAAAACUGUGCUGAAGGAAGGGAGGGAGAUUGCUUUUCCCUUUCUGGGACACAAUGCUGUUUAACCCUUUGGGUUCCUUCGUUGCCAGGUGGUGCUUAAUUACUUAAUUAAUUUUGCAGAUUUGGCUGGAAGUUUUUGCACAUCCAAGACAUCACUUGAACAAUUAAGAGGCUGCCCUGAUGAGCUCCUCACUCUGGUCCCUUAACCCACGUCUCCAAGAGCUACCUCUGCUUUUCAGAUCCCCCAUAAAGAAGCAGCUACUCUGGACCCCGUCACCCACAGCUAUAAUCAGUGUUUGAAUCAGUGCCAGACUUGAGCCACAUGUCCAUCAGUGUUGGGGACAGAUUUCACAUAUGACGAUGAUGAAGACGUCUCCUUGGGGGUGGCUUUGCUUUGAGACACAUUCCUGCCCAAAACAGAAACCAGGCGUGGGAUGGAUUUUGUCAUAGAUUACCAAAAUGGUCUGGUGAGAACAGCGGUCCUUGAGAUGGGCAAUGCUCUGGGCAGGGCUUCAUUGCUGUGCCUGCGAGACGGUCGUUAAUCCACCCUGGGAACAAGACUUCCUUCCUUGUGUAAAUCCUUCUGUCGGGCUGGAAAGGGGAGAAAUCUGCCAGGUGAAUCUGCUGGGAAAAUUCACAGAGCACAGAAAUACAAUUCCUGCCCUUUAGAACCAAACAAAGUCCUGCUUGUGGGCACAUGAAGGUCCUGAGCACCAGGACAUGGAUGCUGUAGCCCCAGCUCUGGACUUGGCGUUUCCCCAUUCACACUGUGGACUGGAACCCCAGGAGGCACGGCGUCCCAAAGCAUCCUGCAGUUUAUUGUUUGGCUCCACUUCCUUCCUCCCAAUGGGGCCAUCAGGGGUGCGGUGCCCACCUUGGGGGAAGGCAUCUUCCUGCACAGGAUGGGGGUUUGUUGCAAAGUCAGCUGCACCAGGUUGAGGUUGGGCUUCUGCAAUUAGGAGACGGACUUUACACAGUCUGAUAGUGAUAGAAUGAGGGGGAAUUAUUUUAAACUAAAGGAGAGGAGGUUUAGAGUAGAUGUUAGGGGGAAAUAUUUCACUCAGAGGGCAGUGGGGGUGAGGCACAGGAACAGGUUACCCAGUGAAACUGUGGAUGAUCCAUCCCUGGAAGUGUUCAAGACCAGGCUGAACGGGGCCCUGGGCAGCCUGAUGUGGUGAGGGGUAAGCCUGCCUACUGUUUGAGGUCCCUUCCAACUCAAGCCAUCCUAUGAUUCUAUGAUUCAAUGACAAUCCUAUCCCAGUGUUGGAUGUAGUCCCAUGGGCUGGUGGAUGGCCCAUAUUGCACACUCAUCCUCAUCCCAUGGCCAUGAGGAGGUAAUGCAAGCUGUCACAAUCCACAGAGAGAGGAAUUGAGAUCACAGAGAGAGGAAUUGAGAUGUUCUUCCUCCCUGAGAGCUCUCUCUGAGCACACAGUGUUACUCCAGCUGCACUUUUCAGUGUUUAAUAUCGUAUUCUUUAAUAAAAAGGGAAAACAAAAGCAAAAACACUUUGUCCAUCUUGCCUAGUGCUUGUUUUGUUUUCCAUUUCCACUCUUUUCCUUCUCC
ensembl:lncRNA